AUUGAACGCUGGCGGCAGGCCUAACACAUGCAAGUCGAGCGGAUGAAGGGAGCUUGCUCCUGGAUUCAGCGGCGGACGGGUGAGUAAUGCCUAGGAAUCUGCCUGGUAGUGGGGGAUAACGUCCGGAAACGGGCGCUAAUACCGCAUACGUCCUGAGGGAGAAAGUGGGGGAUCUUCGGACCUCACGCUAUCAGAUGAGCCUAGGUCGGAUUAGCUAGUUGGUGGGGUAAAGGCCUACCAAGGCGACGAUCCGUAACUGGUCUGAGAGGAUGAUCAGUCACACUGGAACUGAGACACGGUCCAGACUCCUACGGGAGGCAGAAGCGGGGAAUAUUGGACAAUGGGCGAAAGCCUGAUCCAGCCAUGCCGCGUGUGUGAAGAAGGUCUUCGGAUUGUAAAGCACUUUAAGUUGGGAGGAAGGGCAGUAAGUUAAUACCUUGCUGUUUUGACGUUACCAACAGAAUAAGCACCGGCUAACUUCGUG
rnacentral:rRNA from 1 species